UACGUAAGGUGCGAGCGUUGUCCGGAUUCACUGGGUGUAAAGGGUCCGCAGGCGGGUUGGUUAGUCGUUGGUGAAAUUACAAAGCUUAACUCUGGAACUGCCGACGAUACUGCCGAUCUUGAGUACUGAAGAGGAAGAUGGAAUUCCUGGUGUAGCGGUGAAAUGCGUAGAUAUCAGGAAGAACACCGGUGGCGAAGGUGGUCUUCUGGUCCGUUACUGACGCUCAGGGACGAAAGCGUGGGGAGCAAACAGG
rnacentral:rRNA from 1 species